rnacentral:tRNA from 1 species
ACGCGAUUUUCAAAUCAGCUUCCCAAGCUGAGGGUCGCCGGUUCGAUCCCGGUCUCGCGCUCCA